rnacentral:rRNA from 1 species
UGUAGUCAUAUGCUUGUCUCAAAGAUUAAGCCAUGCAUGUCUAAGUAUAAAUAAAUUUAUAUUGUGAAACUGCGAAUGGCUCAUUAAAUCAGUUAUGAUCUACGUGACAUAUUCUUUACUACUUGGAUAACCGUGGUAAUUCUAGAGCUAAUACAUGCAAAAAAACCCUGACUUCGGAAGGGGUGCACUUAUUAGAUAAAACCAACGCGGGGUAAAACCUGUCUUCUUGGUGAUUCAUAAUAAUUAAGCGGAUCGCAUGGCCUUGUGCUGGCGACGGUCCACUCGAUUUUCUGCCCUAUCAUGGUUGAGAUUGUAAGAUAGAGGCUUACAAUGCCUACAACGGGUAACGGGGAAUA